rnacentral:rRNA from 1 species
GAUGAACGCUGGCGGCGUGCCUAACACAUGCAAGUCGAGCGGUAUAUAUUGGAACGAGAUUUCGAUUAAGUGAAGAUAUAGAGAGCGGCGGACGGGUGAGUAACGCGUAGGCAACCUGCCCCAUACAGAGGGAUAGCCUCGGGAAACCGGGAUUAAAACCUCAUAACGCGAAAGGUUCACAUGGACUUUUCGCCAAAGAUUUAUCGGUAUGGGAUGGGCCUGCGUCUGAUUAGCUAGUUGGUGAGGUAACGGCUCACCAAGGCAACGAUCAGUAGCCGACCUGAGAGGGUAAUCGGCCACAUUGGAACUGAGACACGGUCCAAACUCCUACGGGAGGCAGCAGUGGGGAAUAUUGCACAAUGGGCGAAAGCCUGAUGCAGCAACGCCGCGUGAGCGAUGAAGGCCUUUGGGUCGUAAAGCUCUGUCCUUGGGGAAGAAAAAAAUGACGGUACCAUAGGAGGAAGCCCCGGCUAACUACGUGCCAGCAGCCGCCGUAAGAC